GCUGGGGCUAUUAAAAUAAGGUCUUCUGCGCAGGGCUUCUGCGCUUAUUGCUCUUUCUUCUGAGAGCAGUGUAUAAGCGCAGAAGCCCUGGGUAUGAGGUUGAUAUCAUUUAUUGGAUUUAUCUGGCUUAGGCCAACUUCGAGGACACUGGAAACCAGGCUUAAACAAAUUUAUUGCAACUCCACAUUUUGACCCUUCAACUGAUUUUCUCAAAAAAUUUAAUGCCACCCCCCCCUUCUAGUAAAUUAUUUAUACUCAUGGGGUCAUGGCCCCACCUUUUGCCUCCCCCUCCCUCUCCAUAAAUAAGGACUGGUCCCUAACUGCAGGAAAAAUAUGUGCACUUCACAGAACAUUUAUAACAAUUCAUAAUUUAUUACUUUUGCCUCAGGCUGGGUAACCACAACAGAAGUUGCCAAAUAGGCCCUUUGAAGGUAGCUUGCGUGUCAGGCUCGAUGCUUGAAAUAGAGCCUGUUAUACCCUGUGAGCAAAGUCCUCUCGUAUUUCUUCUCGGCACGGCACGGAGAAGCGAGAGAGACUCUGCAGAACUUGUGUAUAAAUUCAUUUGAGCAUGCGCGAAGGUUGCUAAGCAACUGCCUAUUUCCCAGAAGAAGAUUUAAUAAGUAGUUUCCGGUUCGGAUCAAAACCGGUUAUAAAACUGGUAUCAAACCUGAAAUUACUCAUAAUUAUCCAAGUUUUUGGAUUGUCGGCUCCACAAAGAAUAUACACAAGUUCUGCAGAGUCUCUCUCGUGCUGAGAAGAAAUACGAGAGGACUUUGCCCACAGGGUAAGCCUGUUACUGAAGUCAAUAAAAAGAGGACAGUGAUUGGGAUGCACAAAAAUAACAACCAAUCAAAAUGGCGAUUGUUAAUCACGUAUCAGUCAAUUCCAGCAGUGCCCAUCUCCCCGAGGUAUUAGCCAUUUCUGGGAAGAAAAUGGCUAUGUCCACAAGCCAUUUGCAAUCAAAUUAAAUAUCAGUUUUCCAGCAAAUCUACGAAAUCCCCCAUGAUGGAAAAUGUCAAAAUCCUCACCCCAGGGCUAAAAAAUAUCGGCAAUAGCCCCACCCCCGUUAUUAGGGAAAGCUGCAAAGGCCCAGGGGUGGGAACUGCUGGAAUUAAUUGAUACAUUAGAUUAUCAAAGCUAAUUUAAAAUAUGACAAUAACGGCCAACUUUUCCACUAAUAUCUCAAAACUAAAUAUUCCAAUUUUCAUCGAAUGGCCAGGAAUUACAUAUUAAAUAAUAAUAAUAAUUGUUAUUGACUGCGGCAAAGGCAGUCAUUAACAUGGCCAAAAGUAGUUAAAGUACAAUUACAAGUACGGAAUAUCAUUACAUAAACAACAAUUUGACAUUACCUUAAAAACAAAGCUAUUUAUUUCUGACCAAUGGGAAUUUUGCGUACAAAUCAUGUGCAUCAAUCCUUUUUACUGACCUCAGUAGCAGGCUUUAUUUCAAGCAUAGAGCCUGACACGCUAGUUACUUUUAAUAACCCAUUGAG